CCUACGGGAGGCAGCAGUGGGGAAUAUUGCACAAUGGGGGAAACCCUGAUGCAGCGACGCCGCGUGAGUGAAGAAGUAUUUCGGUAUGUAAAGCUCUAUCAGCAGGGAAGAAAAUGACGGUACCUGACUAAGAAGCCCCGGCUAACUACGUGCCAGCAGCCGCGGUAAUACGUAGGGGGCAAGCGUUAUCCGGAUUUACUGGGUGUAAAGGGAGCGUAGACGGUUACGUAAGUCUGGAGUGAAAGCCCGGGGCACAACCCCGGGACUGCUUUGGAAACUGUGUAACUGGAGUGCAGGAGGGGCAGGCGGAAUUCCUGGUGUAGCGGUGAAAUGCGUAGAUAUCAGGAGGAACACCAGCGGCGAAGGCGGCCUGCUGGACUGAAACUGACGUUGAGGCUCGAAAGCGUGGGGAGCAAACAGGAUUAGAUACCCCUGUAGUC
rnacentral:rRNA from 1 species